rnacentral:rRNA from 1 species
GACGAACGCUGGCGGCGUGCUUAACACAUGCAAGUCGAACGGAAAGGCCCUGCUUUUGUGGGGUGCUCGAGUGGCGAACGGGUGAGUAAAACGUGAGUAACCUGCCCUUGACUUUGGGAUAACUUCAGGAAAAUGGGGCUAAUACCGGAUAGGAGCUCCUGCAGCAUGGUGGGGGUUGGAAAGUUUCGGCGGUUGGGGAUGGACUCGCGGCUUAUCAGCUUGUUGGUGGGGUAGUGGCUUACCAAGGCUUUGACGGGUAGCCGGCCUGAGAGGGUGACCGGCCACAUUGGGACUGAGAUACGGCCCAGACUCCUACGGGAGGCAGCAGUGGGGAAUAUUGCACAAUGGGCGGAAGCCUGAUGCAGCAACGCCGCGUGCGGGAUGACGGCCUUCGGGUUGUAAACCGCUUUCGCCUGUGACGAAGCGUGAGUGACGGUAAUGGGUAAAGAAGCACCGGCUAACUACGUG